ACAUCCUCACUCAUACAAUUUCCCAUCAGAUAGCUGUCUUCAGGCAAAUGAGUAUUACAAGUAUGAGUUCUGGGCCACGUAUAUACCUUAUCUACAGCAGGCUAUGUAUGUAAGCCUAAGUCACUUUGUCUCUAGCUCCUCUGGGUUUUUGUUGUUGUUGUUUUGUUUGUUGAGAUGGAGUCUCGCUCUGUCACCCAGCCUGGGGUGCAGUGGCCUGAUCUCAGCUCACUGCAACCCCCGCCUCCCGGAUUCAAGCAAUUCUCCCGCCUAAGCCUCCUGAGUAGCUGGGAUUACAAGCAUGUGCCACCACGCCCGGUCUCGAACUCCUGACCUCAAGUGAUCCACCUGCCUUGGCCUCCCAAAGUGUUGGGGUUACAGGCAUGAGCCCCCGCACCGAGCCUACUCCUCUGUUUUUUAAUUUUUCUUUUUUCUUUUUUUUUUUUCUUUUGACCAAUAGUCUUCAAGCUAGAAAACUUCAUUGGGGACAUUUUAUUGGGAAGGUUUUCCACUCUAAUAAUCUCAAUUUCUCAAUGCGCUAAAACCCAGGGAGCAGAGCCUUGGAAUCAUUGCUAUACUGUCUAAUUAGAACCUCCUCUCAAGGAGCACAGCAUUGCUUUUCCAUUAGCAGCAUCAAACCCAGAGAGGAAAAGCAUGUGAAGGUUUAAGUUGUCCAUGGAGCUUAUUUUCAGCAUUUUCCCCUCAGGAUUUGAGAACAUGCCUAUGCCCACUCCUCCCUUUGUGACAUUUCUUAAAGCCUUGCUCAAUAAAAGUGAAUCUCUAAUAACAUAAAACACUAGAGAUGAAGUAAUACAUUGUUCUUUAAAAUAGAUGAGGUAAUAAAACACCAUUGACUGCUAUGGAAAUUUUCCAGUUCCUGGUUACUAGUCUGAUUCUUAUAAUGUGUCAAAAUUGCCUCAAGGUUAAGAUAUUGGUCUUAUUGCUAAUUCUAAGCACUGUAAUGCCAGAGAAACCUUACCAUUUUGUACUAAUAUGUUUAACAUGUUCAAGAUGCUGUCAUAAAUCUCAGGCUCCUCAUGGCUCAGUCCACUUCAACUAGUAAUGGCUUCCAGUCAUUUUUGAUGACUGGUAAAGGGUUGGCUAAGGGCCUAAUCUGCAUAAUGAGAAUGCUAGGACUAUAAAGGCAAGCGUCACGAAUCCUAUGCAAUAGAGAAUUUGCUAGACUUUCUGGGAAAGAGAACUUUGAUCCUAAUGAAUUUUUUUAAAUGGCCCCCUCAUUCCCACUAAGAGAGAUCUUUCAUCAACCUCCAGGAGGCAUGCCUUGGGAAACUCGCCCUAGGAUAGAAGAGUGCUGAAGAGUAUCUGGGCUCUGUCCUGGAUUGUGUCCUAAAUGUUAGUGAGAAGACCCAUUUUUGACUUGACAUUGGAUAGGAUCACUAAAUAAUCCUGACAUGCAACUCUGGGGUAAUUUGUUCCAUGUUCUCAAGCAAACUCACCAAAAAGCAGUAAGCGCUAGUGAAGAUGGAACCUUCAGCAGCCAGUGAGCAGUGGAGAUAGUUGUGGCAAAAUCAGUAUCAGCUGGGAUCCUGGCAAAAUUACCAUGGCUUCAAAUCAUCAUGACAGAUACUAUGGCUUGGCUCCCAACAGAAGGAGCAUUCAGCCAAGUAAAGUGUUCAGUGAAAACGCCAGGGAGUUAAUCCUGAUUCGUCUAAAGCCAUCAUGUUAGUUCCAUUCCCCUUGUCAAAGAAGGACUUAGGCAUAGCCAUGUUAUGCAACCCUAGCCCCUGAGAUGAAAUAAGUGGAAUUAUUCUGCCAUUGAGUCCCUCCUGCCCACCUCCUAUAGGUGAUAUCCUCAGGUUAGUGUUGAAGGCAUUCAGCCUUUCCUGUAUGAGAUCCAUCCAGAUCCUGCCUGAUGGCAGCCCAUCGUUCUAUGGGUAAUUAGGACGGGGCUCUGCUGGGCAGUUAUUCUGCUCCUUGUGACAUUAACUGGAGUUACUCAGUGGUAUUCAGAUGGUGGCUGGAGAGUUCAUUAACUCUUCCCUCACAGUCUCGUGCCUUGACAGGGAAGUCUGGAAAGCAGGGCUCAGAUAGAAUCUAAGUGGCCAGGCCUCUCUCUCCCUGGCCUCUCUAUGGCCUCUCCACAUGGUCCCUUCAGUGUGGGAGACAGCUUACAUGGUGAGUCAGUACUACCAAGUAUAGGGUUCUAAAAGACUGAGGAAAAAACUGCAAGACUCCUUAUGACUUAGCCUUGAAGUCUCAGAACAUCACUUCUUCUCACAUUCUACUAGACAAAGUAAGACACAAGACCAGUCCAACUCAACAGGAAGGAAUUAGAUUCCACAUCUCAAUCUAAGGAGCAGCACAAAUAUGCAGAGAGGAAAGGAAUUGAUUGUGGCCCUCUUUGAAAACUAUCUCAGGCCAUCCUUGGGCCACUUCAAUUCAUAGCUCUUCCUUAUGCAAAAUACACUCACCUCUUGCAUUUGUUUUCUAUGCUGCGUAACAAAUUACUACAAACAUAGCAGCCUUAAGUAAUACACAUUUAUUAUCUUAGUUUCUGUGGGGCAGGAGCCUGGGCAUGACUCAGCUAGGUCCUCUGCUCAGGGUCUCAUGUGACUGCAGUCAAGGUGUCAGAUGAGCUAUAUUCUCAUCUGGAGGCUUGACAGGGGAAGAGCCUACUUCCAAGUUCAUUAGGUUGGUGGUAGAAUUCACUCCAUUGUGGAUGUAUGACUGAGGACCCUGGCUUUUUGCUAGCCAUCAGAAGAGGCCAGUCUUGGGUCCUAGAGACCACCUGUGGCUCCUUACAAUGUGGGCUUUCUCAACAUGGCUACUUACUGCAUGAAGCCAGCAAAAAGAAUCUCCCAGUCCAGUAUGCUAAGACAGAGCCUUGUAUAACAUAAGUCCCACCCUCACUCAAGGGGAGGGGAAUGUUAAGAAGACAUAAACAACAAGAGGUGAAAAUUAUUGACCGUAGGACCUGUCCAUCACAUUCCCUUUUUGGAG
rnacentral:lncRNA from 1 species